rnacentral:tRNA from 1 species
GGGGCUGUGGCUCAGUGAUAGAGUGUCUGCUUGGCACGCAGAAGUAGCCAGGUUCAAUUCCCAGCACCCCCA